UGCUUGAAAAGGCCUACCUAAGAUCUUGGCGGGAUGCACGCCAGAAAAGCCAUGGCAGCUGACUUUCACCAAAUCCCCAACUUUAUACUGGCAAAACUCCUUUCUUGGAUCUUUGAUGCGUGAUAUGGUUAUGAUGCUGACCUUUUCUUCCUCUAUCCACUCCAUAAGGGCAUACAUGGUUCGUUGAACAAAGUAAUAAUAGAACCUUUCAACUUUCACCUUCUUGAACCGACGCUAUCUUGUUUGAAAAUGGAGAGCGGAGCCGAUUUGACCAAUCAGCGAUUAGAGGAAAUACCAGAAUCAAGGAAUUCAAAACCUUUAUGACUUCAAAUGAUUAAAAAUCGUAAAGUAUAUACGUGAGAUUUUUUUUAGUUAUUCAUCAGUUUUGCUGAAAUUGAUCAGGAACAAUCAAACGUAUUUUUAUUUUUACGUAAAUACCCGAUUCGCACAUUUCCGGUUAUUCCGUAUGUAAACGAAGAAGGCGCCAUUUUAAAAACAAAGAUUGAAAUAAAAGCGAAACACUCGUCACUGCUCCGAAGCUAUGUACCCUCACAAACGUGGUAGCUACCAGGUUUUCCAUGCCGAUAAGUCUAAUCCAACACUCAAAGUAUCCCUUUGGCGAAUGCAACAAGGAAAAGACAACAUUUCAUCAGAAAAUUUCGACAAUCGAAGUGUGGCGUGUGAAACUGCUGGCCCUGUCGCCAUUAUGAUUAUCGAUGCCUUUCAUGAGAAAUCAUUUAACCAGUUGCUUCAAGAUGUUGCUGAAGAACCUGCUUUCUUACCAUAUCAUAUAUGUUGACGGAGAUUCAGAAUGAGACAAAGAGUUUGAUAUAUGAUCCUACACCUGACAGAAAAAGUUGAGGAUCUUGGACCACUUUGGUGCUCAUCUUGUUUCUAUUUUGAGGAUUGUAGUGGAUAAUUGAGAUGCUUUUUCCAUGGCAUCCAACAUAUUGAAACCCAAAUAGCAUUUGCGGUUAGUGUUCAUCAGCAGCUACUGACGUUGUCCCAAGCUCUGAAGUUUGACAGCAGUGAAAGGGAACAGACAGGGUUGCUGUUAUUGGAGCCUAUGUAAAAGACCUUUGAAAUCUGAGGAACAGGCAGUCCUUUUGACCUUAGCUGGAGAGUAGGUCCGUGUGGUUUUCUUCAAAAGACUACUUGUGGACGAACAGGUUGAGACAACAAAAUAAUUCGAUUCAAGGAAACGUUCAUUGGGAGAUUAGAAACUUUUGUUAAAGUAACAGGACAUGACUACAAAUGAAAAACUUUGUUUUGUUUUCACAGUUCCUAACAGGAUUGAACAGGAAUAUAACAUGAACAUGUUCAAUGUCCAGAACAGAGACAUCAUUUAACAGUCAUACCUUGUUUUGUGUCACAUUUACCAAUGAGAUUUGAAUAUAGAAAUAUUUUUUGAUACUUUUUUGGAAAAGACGUUUUUAUAGAUAUGCCUUAAUUUGAUUUUGAUAGACUAUGCAUACCUAAAUUGAUGAAUAGUGUCUCUUUUAACAUGGAACAGAAGUCCAUAUGGACUUAUUUUUAAUAAAUACUGUGACAUAUCUCA